CCAAAGAUUAAAGGAAUCAAACCAAGUGGCUCUUCAGCAGCCCCGCCCCCAAGAAGAGCCGCUGCGUGGAGGCGAUUUAUGGUUCCAAGGCAAAGAGUGGCAGGCUGGAGGCUCGGCCGACACCUCCGGGGGCCGCCUGGCUGCACGUGGCCCAAGCCAGGCGGCCUCCUUGAGUAUUCCGCUGGAACAGACUGAGGCAGCAGACAGCAGCGCUUGUACGGCUGCCAGGAGCCACAGCUGAUGAUAAAAGCCAUUAAAGGUCAGCUGGGAAUAGAAAACUAUUUAUGUUAAAUGUCACAGAUUAAGC
rnacentral:lncRNA from 1 species